rnacentral:rRNA from 1 species
GAUGAACGCUGGCGGCGUGCCUAAUACAUGCAAGUCGAGCGAACGGACGAGAAGCUUGUUUCUCUGAUGUUAGCGGCGGACGGGUGAGUAACACGUGGAUAACCUACCUAUAAGACUGGGAUGACUUCGGGAAACGGGAGCUAAUACCGGAUAAUAUUUUGAACCGCAUGGUUAAAAAGUGAAAGACGGUCUUGCUGUCACUUAUAGAGGGAUCCGCGCUGCAUUAGCUAGUUGGUAAGGUAAUGGCUUACAAAGGAAACGAGGGAUAGCCGACCUGAGAGGGUGAUCGGCCACACUGGAACUGAGACACGGUCCAGGCUCCUACGGGAGGCAGCAGUAGGGAAUCUUCCGCAAUGGGCGAAAGCCUGACGGAGCAACGCCGCGUGAGUGAUGAAGGUCUUCGGAUCGUAAAACUCUGUUAUUAGGGAAGAACAUAUGUGUAAGUAACUGUGCACAUCUUGACGGUACCUAAUCAGAAAGCCACGGCUAACUACGUG